rnacentral:misc_RNA from 1 species
GUGAAUCAUCGAAUCUUUGAACGCAACUUGCGCCUCUCUGAGGCAUGUCUGUUUGAGUGCCGCAUACUCUCUGCAGCAAUGCGACAUGGCCAUUGUCUCUGGACUGGGCCUAAACAAAGCCAGAUAGUGGCCGGCGUGGUUAGCCCGAGUGCUAAGCAUUCUCGAACUAAUCACACUGCCAUAAAUCUAUUCUAUCUUUGGCCUCAAAUCAGGCAAGACUACCCGCUGAACUUAAGCAUAUCAAUAAGCGGAGGA